UUCAGUUUGCUUGAGGCAAACAAUUGUAUUGUGUAUUACAGCAUGCAAGAGAUCUAAUUUUUUUUCCAUGCAGUAAAUUAGUAGCAGUUCAUUGUAAAGGUCAUCCUUCUUUGCAUCGCUUGCUAUGGGAGAUGUAGGAUUUCCUGGAGUUAGCUUUUGAUAGAUGCAGUCCUUCCAUUAAAGUUAAAUUUUUGAGGAUGGGACAGAAGUACAGCUACAGGUACUUGCUGUUUACCUGCCUGGGACUAACAUCACUUAAAUAUACUUGCUGGUAGUAAAUUAGGUACUUGCAUAGGAAGUAAACGCUCGGGAUUCGGAGACUUUUUGUUUCCAAGAACAUGCCUGGAUGCUGCAGGAGC
ensembl:lncRNA